GACGAACGCUGGCGGCGUGCUUAACACAUGCAAGUCGAACGGUCCUGUUUUUGAAGCGCUUCGGCGUGGAGGGGACGGGGCAGUGGCGCACGGGUGAGUAAUGCGCGAGGACCUGCCCGCAGGAGGGGGACAGCAGUUGGAAACGGCUGGUGAUACCCCGUAGGCCGGGAGGUGAAAGGGCGGAGACGCCCGCCUGCGGAUGGACUCGCGUCCUAUCAGCUAGUUGGUGAGGCAACGGCUCACCAAGGCGACGACGGGUAGCCGGCCUGAGAGGGUGUCCGGCCACACUGGAACUGAGACACGGUCCAGACUCCUACGGGAGGCAGCAGUGGGAAUUUGGGCAAUGGGGGAGACCCUGACCCAGCGACGCCGCGUGAGGGACGAAGGCCCUUGGGUCGUAAACCUCUUUUGCAGGGGAAAAGAAGAUGACGGUACCUUGCGAACAAGUCCCGGCUAACUACGUGCCAGCAGCCGCGGUAAGCUAGUCUACG
rnacentral:rRNA from 1 species